GCAUUGGUGGUUCAGUGGUAGAAUUCUUCACGCCUGCCACGCAUGGAGCCCAGGGUUCGAUUCCUGGCCAAUGCA